rnacentral:rRNA from 1 species
GAUGAACGCUGGCGGCGUGCUUAACACAUGCAAGUCGAGCGAAGCACCUAAGAAAGAUUCUUCGGAUGAAUUCUUUUGUGACUGAGCGGCGGACGGGUGAGUAACGCGUGGGUAACCUGCCUCAUACAGGGGGAUAACAGUUAGAAAUGACUGCUAAUACCGCAUAAGACCACGGUACCGCAUGGUACAGUGGUAAAAACUCCGGUGGUAUGAGAUGGACCCGCGUCUGAUUAGCUGGUUGGUGGGGUAACGGCCUACCAAGGCGACGAUCAGUAGCCGACCUGAGAGGGUGACCGGCCACAUUGGGACUGAGACACGGCCCAAACUCCUACGGGAGGCAGCAGUGGGGAAUAUUGCACAAUGGGGGAAACCCUGAUGCAGCGACGCCGCGUGAAGGAUGAAGUAUUUCGGUAUGUAAACUUCUAUCAGCAGGGAAGAA